ensembl:lncRNA
CGGUGAGGGCUGCUCCAGGCCGGGUUUGGGAGCUUCUCCAGCGAUUCCCCACAUACAAAACAUCCCAGGGCCACCAGCCUCCCCAGCGCCAGCUGUUUCCACUUCCGGCACAUAUGUUCACUCACGUAAAUUGUUGACUAACUUCACAUCCAGAAUUUUAAACAGAGGAAAACCCGGGGCUGGUCUACACCCACCAGAAGAGCAGAGAUAAGGAGGGGGAAUUUCAACAACAAACAAACGAAAAAGCAGAACGAUGCCAGAGAACCUACGUUUACCCAGGACAGCAGACUUCCCCCGCGUUUAUGGCUUCCUGAACCAGCGCUGCUGCAUCACGGUAGCGAAGCCCGGUGAACCGACUUCUAGGGUGAACUAGAUAAGCGAGAACAGAGAAGCAGAGUGAGCUACGCAACCCAUGGUGGGAGCGACAACAGGACCGCAGUCAAAAGCCUGGCUCACAGCGAAUGGACACUACCGUCAACGGCCUGUAGUGUCAGGAGCUCAGAGUCCCAAGCCAGACCUCCACGGUUGAGUUCCAACUCUGCCACUUGGGAGCUGUGUGACCUGGUAGUCUGUCUCCUGCUGGGGGCUUCCAGGAUGACCCUCAUCCCCAGUGUUUCUGACCAUUUUUGUGAAUUUGGUGUUUCUUUGGGAACAAAUCUCUGCUGCAGUCGUAGCUGAGGAUGGCUCAGAUCUGGCCACCAAGGGCACUGUCCUGGGGAGAGACGAGUUCUCGCUUAAAGACAUUGUUCAUAAAAAGUCAACCUACGGAGACAGGCCAACCACGCGCCAGGUACUCGCUCAGCAGUGACUUGAGCAAUGAGCCCAAUGGAGAGAGCGCCUGCCCUUACGGGGCCUGGAUCCUAAUCAGGAAAUCCGAAAUAGACAGGUAUCUGCAUAGCCAACUCUCCAUUAUCCAUGGUGCAGGUCAACUGUGUUCUGCGGGCAUCUCUCCAUCCCCUCAGCCUCCCCUCAGCCUCCUUCCAGCCCCCACAGCGCCCUGUGUUGGAUGUCUACUUGCACAUGCCUCCCCAGAGGGCCAGCCAUCCUGAGAGAGAGGGUAAUGUAAAGGGCUGGGAUGUGGAAGGAAGGAAGACGUAGGGGCUGGUUACCCACCAUCUUGGACUAGUUUCAUUAUUUCUCCUUCCUCCUUGUGGAUAAUUGAAGUGUGAACACAUGUUCUCAACAUGUUACCUCCAAUCUUGCUGAAACGCCCUGGACUACAUAUUAUGUCCAGAUUAAUUUCUUCCCCCAGCCUGAUGUAGAACCAUGAACCGAGAGGUACAUAAUAUGUGAUAUAUUUUACAGUAACAUUCAGCAAACUUGUCUACCAUUGAAAGGUUCAUUUCGAGUUGUGUUAAUCGAAGGCAAGUUGACUCAUUUGUCCACGACAAUGCCCUCAUUUCCCUUUGAGCAAUUAUCAAGUGUGCUUGACGCAGAGCAGCUGACCUUCGAAUACAAGGCUGGGCUGGGGGUGGGGUGGGCCUGGACUGUCAGUGUGGAUUUGGCAGCAUGAGUUGCUCCAAAGAAUCCUGAUUUCUUAUGCGUGAACUCCUGACCCCGGCGCUGGAGCCUGGCGAGCGGGCGGGAAGGAAGGUGAACUCCCGCUGAUUCAGGGUCCCUCCCAGGCGGCCUUUUCCACGGUGUCAGCAGUGUUCACCUCACUUUCCUCUCCUCCCUCUUCCGCCCCCCUAUAAGUCCUGUCCCUGGAAGCACUUCUGAGUUGCCAGGAAUCAUGAACAUUGGGAAACAAUCCAAAAAGCUGGGUGGCUACUUUAUUUUCCGUAGCCCACACGGUCACACGUGGCCCCGGUCUCAGCAUCUGGUCAUAGGUGUGGACACAGCAUGGCCUAAAGGAAGGAACAUGGGACCACAAAGAGGGGCCUUCAGUGACUCAGGUACCAAGCAAGCAUGUGGCUUGGAGGCCAGCCUUUCUUAAGGGCCUGUCUGGGUGAAGACCGAGAAAUGUUCUAUGGUGGUUUCAGAAUUUUCUCCCCUAGCUUCAUUACUUGGAGCGGUGCUUCUCGAUGUUGAAGCUGGAGGUCUGAGGACCACACUUUCAGUAGGAAGAUGACCAGGCCCCACGGCCACGUCGUUUCCAGGAGAUGGUAACAAAACGAGGAGGAAAGGCCCAGAUGUCAACAUGCCUGCCAUUGAGGAUCACAGGAAGUGCCCUUAAAACAAAUAUCAGGUUCUGACCUGGAGAAACAGCUCCUUUCUUUGAUUUCAAAACAUGGCUAAUGUUCCACUGUGCAAGAAUAUUUCGAACAUCCCAAUUGGAAAAAAAAAGGUUCCAAAGGCGAAGUCUAAGCAGCCGCACGAGGACCUGCUGUUACGCUUCCUUAGCUCUCUGGUGCAGGUGGAGCUCAGCUGUCUAUCAAACGAUGAGGAACUCAGUUGUGUGAGCAAACAGCCCUCAUUCACAUUUGACAAAAUCUGCCUAAAGUAAUAAGGUGAUGAAAACUUCCGAACUUCUCUCGAGCUGGACAUCUUCUCCCGAAUGCCUCUGAACCUCUCCUGCGAAUGCAGUUCCGUGGAUGCAGAAGCUGUUUGCAGAUUCCCUCUGCUAGUGUCCUUGGUCAGUCAAAGGCACCCCCAUAGAAGUCCCGUGCGAGUGCGUGCAGCCGUCACUGGUAAAGCCAGCAGCUGGGUAGCACUUCUUUUCACACUUCACAUCCUUGAGCUUAUCCUUGGAUUUGCGUGGGUGGCACCUGUUUGCACAGCCUACCCUCAUCUGAGAUUCUGCCUCCUCUACUGGGCAGGUUGAAGCCUUUUCUUGCCCCCUAUAAAGCAACAGCUCAUUCCUGAGUUGUGUGUGUCAAGCUGGUAUGUCUACUCUUCUCAUUAAAAGGUUCACUGGAACUAACCAAUAAGAUCACCCUUUGAAAUAUUUUCUGCGCUCUACUUUUAGAAGAAAGAGCCAGAUCAUCUAAAGGAAGCAAACUGGUAUCAUGGCUUUUGAGAAAAUGAACAAACAACAAAACAUGUUCCAGAAUGUGUUGGGUCCAACACACAGUUACCCAGUUUCUUGCACUUUCUACAUUAACAUGUACUCACUAAUCCUACCUGAUUGUUUAGAAUAAACAGUUAUUCUGGAGCCCCUCAUUAAACGCUCGAAAAAGAGCAUAGGUUCAAUAUUUUACCCCAAAGCAGGAAAUCAAACCAUGUUUUUAGAAAGUAAAUAUCAACUGACAGAAUGAAUGACAAAGAAAGAGAGAGAGGGAUUGACUGGCC